rnacentral:tmRNA from 1 species
AGAAGCGAUUUUUUUGUAUCAUGAUGGCAAGAAUAAUUGUAUAAUAUACAUUAAGCUGUAUAUCUGGUUGACUGAAGGUUUUCUGGACGCGGGUUCAAUUCCCGCCGUCUCCACCAAAAGUUGUUUUACAUGAGACUGCUUUUGAUGGGGACGUACUGGUUUCGACAGGGAAAGAUAGGGAGAUCGGCAGCCGGUAGGCGAAGACCGUAAAUCUAGCAAAUUUAUAAAUGCAAACGACGAAAACUUUGCAUUGGCUGCUUGAUUAGUUCAGCCAGGAGUGUGACCCACUUGGCAACAGAAUAGGUCAAAGGGGCUUUGCCCCUUUUUUUA